UCUUCAUUUCCCAUACUUUUUCAUCGGUCAGGCAGGCGAGAGAGUGUGGGAAACGAAGAGA
rnacentral:pre_miRNA from 1 species